rnacentral:rRNA from 1 species
GAUAAACGCUGGCGGCGUGCCUAAUGCAUGCAAGUCGAACGGGUCGCAGCUUCGGCUGUGGUCAGUGGCGGACGGGUGAGGAACACGUACGCAACCUGCCCUCUGGUGGGGAAUAACCCUUCGAAAGAGGGGCUAAUGCCGCAUCCGCUCACCUGGGUAAGGCUGGGUGAGGAAAGCCCGUGAGGGCGCUGGAGGAGGGGCGUGCGGCCGAUUAGCUAGUUGGUGGGGUAACGGCCUCCCAAGGCGGUGAUCGGUAGCUGGUCUGAGAGGAUGAUCAGCCACACUGGGACUGAGAGACGGCCCAGACUCCUACGGGAGGCAGCAGCAGGGGAUCUUGCGCAAUGGGCGAAAGCCUGACGCAGCAACGCCGCGUGGGUGAGGAAGGCCUUUGGGUGUAAAGCCCUUUUCUGCGGGACGAAAGAUGACGGUACCGCAGGAAGAAGCCACGGCUAACUACGUGCCAGCGCCGCGGC